rnacentral:lncRNA from 1 species
UUUAUUAUAUUUGUGUAUUUUGAAUAUUUUUAGUUUAAUUUAAUUUAUAUUAUGGAUAAAUUAAGAAACCUCGCUACUAAAGGUGUUAAAAAAUUUUGUCCCGGAAGCGGUAGUGGUAGUAAAAAGCGAAUUACUAGCGGUAGAGGUAGUUCAAGUAGUAGAUAUACCCAUGUGCCUUCGCCUCCGGUACCGCUUGGUAAACCUUUUGAGGAAGAAAUAGGUGUGGGUGCUCACGAUAUGGAUUAUGUAGAAGCUCAGGAAAAUUACGGUAUAGAAGAAGAAAAUGAAAUAGAUGCGGUUAAUUUAGACGAAGAUAAUGAAAAUAUUGCUGAGACACCCGCAGUAGGAGAU